CCCGCCACCUGUCGGCUGCACACCUGCACCUGUGGCUGAUUUGUACACUGGAAAGCAAAACGGUUUCGACAGUUUUUUUUUUUCUAGUGACAUGAAUAACCCAUAUAAUUGUGAAUUUGAGAAUCACUUGCACAAGAGAGAGAGAGAGAGAGAGAGAGAGAGACCCGCGAUCUUUUGUUUUGUGUAGUUUGCAGGUUAAGCAGUGAUCCUCAAAUUCACAACUAUACGAAUUACCCAUUACAAAAAAUUCUGUCAUUAGAAGAAAAACUGCCGAAACCUUUUUGCUUUCCAGUGUAUGUACAGCGGCUUUGGUCCGGUUUAGUGACAAUUUAAUUAGUGACAACUGUAGUUAGUGAUUUCUUGCACGUGAUUAUACACUUUUGGCAUUUUCUCUUAAAUCUAAAAUAUAUUCCAAUCAAAUGUGAGAGCGCGCUAACUUGUGGCGUAUUUGAGUGAGUGGGUUUUAAUUUACAUCCUAGGUUUUUUAGGGUCGAAAUGUAGCUUUGUGAUUGGCUACUAGAAUCUUGUAACGUCAUUAGAUUGUUGUAAAACCGGAUUGACGUUGCCAUGUGAACGUACCCUGCGACCGCCAUCUUUGCUACUCGCAGUGCCGUCAAUUCGUUCGUACGCCGCGUUUCAGCGGGCAGCACAUAGAAAAAUGUAAGAAGUAAAGCGUAGCUGGGUACCUAUUAUGGAACUCGUCGGAAUCGAUUCCGAUCGGAAUAAUUCCGUUUCCCCUAGAAAAGACAAUAGAAAUCUAAGAAAUAACGGAAUAAAUUCGAUCGGAAUCGAUUCCGACAAGUUCCAUAAUAGGUACCCUGAUCAUAGAUGAAAUGUAAGUGGUGAUUGCUUACAUUCUCAACUAUAAUGGGUUGAUUUGCUCAUUGCUUACAUUCUCCUGCGCGCCAUCCGCUUUACCGACAUUUUUCAGGUCGGGUCUGUUCUUUGCAAUUAAACUAGCUCGCGAUUUUGCCUUUACAGUGAAAUGGUUGUAUAACAUAAUCAGGUGUUGAACAGGAAAUUAAUGAGGUUCCAAUGUAGCGAAUUAGCUGAAGAGAACGGAUUUAUCGCCCCGUUCGAUCUGUUAACCCUCAAGUUUUUCAUUAGAGACGAUUUUUGUCAUUUAUGACUCGGCUCUUCGGUAAUUUCUGACUUAAAGAAGGAUAACCCAAUCUUAUAAUUUAAUCAAUACUACGAUAGUAUAUCGAGGGUUAAAGGACGUAACGCUUCGCAGGCACAUCUUCUCUGUACUUAAGUAAAAAAAGAAAGAGAGCGAGAGAGCGAGCGAGAGAGAGAGAGAGAGAGGGGGGGGAGAGAGAGAGAGAGAGAGAGAGAGAGGGGGGAGGGAGGGAGAGUCUCUUUUGAUGAAAAGGAAACGGAAAACCCAACUGACCAAUAAAGUUCUAUUCAAAAUUACUAAUCACUGUUUUUUCUUUUUUGUUUAAAAUAAAUGCGAUCCCAUUUCCUAUACCAAUGCCUUGUCUUUAUUAAAUAUAUUUAAUUAAUACCUCUUAAUAAAGUCGACUAAAUUUGGUGUAUACGUUGUGUGCAAUUCUUUUGUAUCGAUCUCUUAAGAAACUUAGAUCCUUGGAUUGACAAAAUUAUUUUCCAAACGGUUAUCAUUAUCGAUAACAGUUUAAUAUAAUUUUCGUUUCAGUUGUACAAAAAGGAUAAAAAGAAAAAUUGUGAUGUAGAAAACUGAAUUACAUGCCAUGUCGUCAAAACAUCAGAUACGCCUUAGCGUUUCUUUUGAGAUCUAAACUUUUGUAGAGAUAAAAAUGCAAGAAUAAAAAAUAGGAAUUUGAAUAAUUUCUAAGGUGAAUUUGGAAAUGUACAAAUUUGAAGUCUUGAUAAUUCGAAGAUCUAAAUGAGUUACAAUUCAAGGAUUCGAGAAUUUAAGUAUUUAUCUGUGAGAAGUAAACACGCUGUGAAUACAAUAUUGACUAUAAACAACAUUCUCUGUUAAAAGGUCGCAAGCAAAGCUGCAAAAAGGAAAAUAUAAAUAUAAUAUAUAUAAAGGAAAUAGAGAUUUAGAGAUUAUUUACUUCUUGGGCUUUUGUAUUUUGAAAUUGGACGGUUAUAUGCUUUUCAGAGUCUCUUAUUUCUUGAUAAGAUACUCGUCAAACGUUGCAGGGUCAAAUAUUUAUAAUAUAUUAUAGAAUAUAUUAUAAAAUAGAUACUUAUCAUACAUACGGGAUACAAGAUAUGUGUAAAUUUAUAGAUAUAAUUCUAUAUACACAUAUUGAUUUCUUUGAUUUUAUCUGCGGAUAUUCAAAUGUCUAUUGAAAUCCUUGAAUGUUUGCAAAAGAUAGAUAUUUGGAAUGUAUAAAGUGACAAGGAUAAAAAGGAAAACCACAAGUCCGAAAAGAGUUGUUAAGUCUAUGAACUUGAGAGUACAAGGAUCUAAGAACACAGGAACGCGUAGGCAUUUGUAUAUUUAAGAACAAAGGAGAUCUAACAAUCAUGGAUCAAAAUGUAUAUAUGCAGAAUAAUAGAUGUAAUUACCAAAACCAAGAUCAUAAAACUCCCAGCCACAUUUUCUGAAGAAUCUAAAUAUCUGAAAAGAUCUAGAAGUGAAUUGAUCUAACUUUAGGAUUUUAGGAACUUUAGGAUAGAACUGACAAAAGCACUGAUUUUUUCAACCCAUGAUGGAUAGAUAAGAUGAUCCAAUGAAUUUUGAUAUUAAUGAAUUUAAAUAGUCACUUUUAAUGCUCCAAAAACUUCAAAGAUUUGGAAACUUGUGUAAAUUCAAGAAGUUAAAAAUUCGUUGAGAUGCAUAUUCAAAUAGGUAUAUAUGUACAUAUGGAGAGACUUGAAACGUUCUUAAUAAUUGAAUGAUAAAUAUAAGAAUCCAUACACAAAAGUACGGAAAUUCAUAAAUUUAAAUUUUAUAAACUGCAGAGAGUAAUGUUUCUA